rnacentral:rRNA from 2 species
CACGUGGGUAACCUGCCUGUAAGACUGGGAUAACUCCGGGAAACCGGGGCUAAUACCGGAUGGUUGUUUGAACCGCAUGGUUCAGACAUAAAAGGUGGCUUCGGCUACCACUUACAGAUGGACCCGCGGCGCAUUAGCUAGUUGGUGAGGUAACGGCUCACCAAGGCGACGAUGCGUAGCCGACCUGAGAGGGUGAUCGGCCACACUGGGACUGAGACACGGCCCAGACUCCUACGGGAGGCAGCAGUAGGGAAUCUUCCGCAAUGGACGAAAGUCUGACGGAGCAACGCCGCGUGAGUGAUGAAGGUUUUCGGAUCGUAAAGCUCUGUUGUUAGGGAAGAACAAGUGCCGUUCAAAUAGGGCGGCACCUUGACGGUACCUAACCAGAAAGCCACGGCUAACUACGUGCCAGCAGCCGCGGUAAUACGUAGGUGGCAAGCGUUGUCCGGAAUUAUUGGGCGUAAAGGGCUCGCAGGCGGUUUCUUAAGUCUGAUG